AGGAGCCGCCGCACCGGAAAGCCCCAUCGCCAGUAAGUUUUGAUUUUCUGUGUUUUUUUGGCCCAUCGAGGGCCCUAGGGGUGUUUUCUCACAGCAACCAAUGCAAGUUUGGCUGAAUUCGGCCGAAAACGGCUAGAAGUAGCUAGUGGUGCUGUCGCAAGAGCACGGUAGAGCCGCCGUGCCAGAAUUUUGAAAUUGAUCAGGUAGGCCUCGGGUCUGAUUUUUGAGUUAUUUGGGACAUGUGUAGGUACUGUAAGCGCGUUUCAGUUCUAAAAAAAAAUUCAUGGAAUCUAGGGACUGCCUAUAGGCGUAGUGAAAAUUCGGUUUUCGACGUCGAAUCAGG
rnacentral:lncRNA from 1 species